rnacentral:tRNA from 1 species
GCGCCCAUAGCUCAAUUGGAUAGAGCGCCAGACUACGGAUCUGGAGGUUAUGAGUUCAAAUCUUGUUGGGCGCGC